rnacentral:rRNA from 1 species
CGGAGGAUCCAAGCGUUAUCCGGAUUUAUUGGGUUUAAAGGGUGCGUAGGUGGCCUGUUAAGUCAGGGGUGAAAGACGGUAGCUUAACUAUCGCAGUGCCCUUGAUACUGAUGGGCUUGAAUAAACUAGAGGUAGGCGGAAUGUGACAAGUAGCGGUGAAAUGCAUAGAUAUGUCACAGAACACCAAUUGCGAAGGCAGCUUACUAUGGUUUUAUUGACACUGAGGCACGAAAGCGUGGGGAUCAAACAGGAUUAGAUACCCUGGUAGUCCACGCCCUAAACGAUGAAUACUCGAUGUUGGCGAUAUACGGUCAGCGUCUAAGCGAAAGCGUUAAGUAUUCCACCUGGGGAGUACGCCCGCAAGGGUG